rnacentral:rRNA from 1 species
GUGGGGAAUCUUGCGCAAUGGGCGAAAGCCUGACGCAGCCAUGCCGCGUAAAUGAUGAAGGUCUUAGGAUUGUAAAAUUCUUUCACCGGGGACGAUAAUGACGGUACCCGGAGAAGAAGCCCCGGCUAACUUCGUGCCAGCAGCCGCGGUAAUACGAAGGGGGCUAGCGUUGCUCGGAAUUACUGGGCGUAAAGGGCGCGUAGGCGGACAGUUUAGUCAGAGGUGAAAGCCCAGGGCUCAACCUUGGAAUUGCCUUUGAUACUGGCUGUCUUGAGUACUGGAGAGGUGAGUGGAACUCCGAGUGUAGAGGUGAAAUUCGUAGAUAUUCGGAAGAACACCAGUGGCGAAGGCGACUCACUGGCCCGUUACUGACGCUGAGGCGCGAAAGCGUGGGGAGCAAACAGGAUUAGAUACCCGGGUAGUCC